rnacentral:rRNA from 1 species
CAGGCUUAACACAUGCAAGUCGAGGGGCAGCAUGGUCUUAGCUUGCUAAGGCCGAUGGCGACCGGCGCACGGGUGAGUAACACGUAUCCAACCUGCCGUCUACUCUUGGACAGCCUUCUGAAAGGAAGAUUAAUACAAGAUGGCAUCAUGAGUCCGCAUGUUCACAUGAUUAAAGGUAUUCCGGUAGACGAUGGGGAUGCGUUCCAUUAGAUAGUAGGCGGGGUAACGGCCCACCUAGUCUUCGAUGGAUAGGGGUUCUGAGAGGAAGGUCCCCCACAUUGGAACUGAGACACGGUCCAAACUCCUACGGGAGGCAGCAGUGAGGAAUAUUGGUCAAUGGGCGAGAGCCUGAACCAGCCAAGUAGCGUGAAGGAUGACUGCCCUAUGGGUUGUAAACUUCUUUUAUAAAGGAAUAAAGUCGGGUAUGCAUACCCGUUUGCAUGUACUUUAUGAAUAAGGAUCGGCUAACUCCGUGCCAGCAGCCGCGGUAAUACGGAGGAUCCGAGCGUUAUCCGGAUUUAUUGGGUUUAAAGGGAGCGUAGAUGGAUGUUUAAGUCAGUUGUGAAAGUUUGCAGCUCAACCGUAAAAUUGCAGUUGAUACUGGAUAUCUUGAGUGCAGUUGAGGCAGGCGGAAUUCGUGGUGUAGCGGUGAAAUGCUUAGAUAUCACGAAGAACUCCGAUUGCGAAGGCAGCCUGCUAAGCUGCAACUGACAUUGAGGCUCGAAAGUGUGGGUAUCAAACAGGAUUAGAUACCCUGGUAGUCCGCACGGUAAACGAUGAAUACUCGCUGUUUGCGAUAUACGGCAAGCGGCCAAGCGAAAGCGUUAAGUAUUCCACCUGGGGAGUACGCCGGCAACGGUGAAACUCAAAGGAAUUGACGGGGGCCCGCACAAGCGGAGGAACAUGUGGUUUAAUUCGAUGAUACGCGAGGAACCUUACCCGGGCUUAAAUUGCAGAUGAAUUACGGUGAAAGCCGUAAGCCGCAAGGCAUCUGUGAAGGUGCUGCAUGGUUGUCGUCAGCUCGUGCCGUGAGGUGUCGGCUUAAGUGCCAUAACGAGCGCAACCCUUGUUGUCAGUUACUAACAGGUUCCGCUGAGGACUCUGACAAGACUGCCAUCGUAAGAUGUGAGGAAGGUGGGGAUGACGUCAAAUCAGCACGGCCCUUACGUCCGGGGCUACACACGUGUUACAAUGGGGGGUACAGAGGGCCGCUACCACGCGAGUGGAUGCCAAUCCCAAAAACCUCUCUCAGUUCGGACUGGAGUCUGCAACCCGACUCCACGAAGCUGGAUUCGCUAGUAAUCGCGCAUCAGCCACGGCGCGGUGAAUACGUUCCCGGGCCUUGUACACACCGCCCGUCAAGCCAUGGGAGCCGGGGGUACCUGAAGUGCGUAACCGCGAGGAGCGCCCUAGGGUAAAACUGGUGACUGGGGCUAAGU